rnacentral:lncRNA from 1 species
CGCAAGCGUACAGGCACGCGCCACAUUACCGAAGGGGAGAAUUCUCUUCGUAGGAUAAAACCCCAACCACAAACUUUAAUUUUACCUUUUAACCCAAAUCACAGCACCAAAUCCACGGCUACGCCGCACCGUACUACGUGUCGAAUUCUCAUUGGUUAAGAAACUACCGCAAAGUUCACUCUGUUGGUUACCCAAUCCCUGCAGGGUGCAGACGAUAUAAAGUUACAAACGAGAAACGGAGACCCACUGCUCUCGGUUACUCAGCAGUGACUUCGUGCUCUCUCCUUUUCUCUCUCUCUCUCUGAAGAGCGUAGCCGGCGGCUACCGGAGAUCGGAUACUCGCCGGAGACAGAAUCGGAACUGUACGGAUUCGGCGAAUCGUCGCGACCACAGAGGACGAAGAACCCGGAGAAAGA